rnacentral:lncRNA from 1 species
UCUCAGUUAUGAUAGCUAGAAUAUUCGAUUGUCAACCAGCAAGUAGAUAUACACGUACUGUUGAAGGUGAAACUUUACUGUCCUUCCAAUAGAAGCUUGAUUUCUGCUUUUGAAGAGCAAACUCUUCUGCAUCUUCAUUAUGCUGACAUCUCUGAGUUGGUUUGUUAGUUAUUUAUCUAUUUGGUAUUGACUUGUGGAUGUGGUACUUCUGUUUCUUGUAUCUUUACAAUUGCUGUUUUUAAUGCAACCUCAUUGCUGUCAGCUUCAGCUCUGUUACCCCUUUUCUUAGUUGAAGCGGGUAUGGACUUUGAAGGUUUAGGUCGAGGUCUUAUUGCCUUCUAUGACAGUGAAGGAUGGUUACAUUCAUCAAGCUGGUAUGUAUGUAAUGAUGUAGGAAAGAUAGAAACAACCUCACGAUAGUGAUUCCUUAGCAAGUGGGGUGACUUCAAUUCACAUGUCAGAGACAUUUUCUUUAUCCGUCUGCCAUCUGCCAUCUGCUGAUGAUCAUGGCUACAAACUUUUUUCAGAAACAGAACCCAUCUUGCAUGUUUUGCUACGAUUGGAACCUCUGUCCUGGACCCAGUUUUUAAGGCUGGGAGGUGAACCGCUAGACCACAUGGCCAGGUUUUCCAUUUGAUUCGGGUGUUUGCACCUUUCCUUAUCCUCCAUUUACUUUGUCAUUUAUGACAACAUGGUGGCUUUUUCUUUUGACUUGGUGACAGUUUAUUUACAAAAAAAAAUUAAGGUUAUUGAGUUGGUUAGUCUUAGUCUUGUUUAGGCCAAAAUCCACUAAAGAGUAUGUGAGUUUAUUGUGUCAAUGACUUCUCAAUGUGGAGGCCGGAAAGUCAUGGCUGCAUUCAUUGCGAAGUGGUCAUGCUGUGUACUGACAUGCUUUGUCUGCCUCUUUUUUUCUUCAGCUGUUACAUAGUUUAGUUAGUGCUUGAUUAGAUAGUCAAGAGUGAAUCUUGAAAGCAGCACUCGAGAAAAUAGAAACCAAUGGUUAAGUUUCAACCUCCAUUGCUGACUUAUUAGCAUUUGCAAUCAAAGCAGACAGACCCUGUAUUCAUAUCCUUGGAUAAAAGAUGUUUUCAGAUAGAUUUGAGUGUUUUUUGUGAUGAUUUAUCUCGUGUAUAACAGAAC